rnacentral:rRNA from 1 species
UACGUAGGGGGCAAGCGUUGUCCGGAAUCAUUGGGCGUAAAGCGCGUGUAGGCGGCUUGGUAAGUCCGUUCUGAAGGCCCGGGGCUCAACCCCGGGAGGCGGAUGGAUACUGUCAAGCUUGAGUCCGGAAGAGGCGAGUGGAAUUCCCGGUGUAGCGGUGAAAUGCGCAGAUAUCGGGAGGAACACCAAUGGCGAAGGCAGCUCGCUGGGACGUGACUGACGCUGAGACGCGAAAGCGUGGGGAGCAAACAGG